CCUACGGGUGGCAGCAGUGAGGAAUAUUGGUCAAUGGACGAGAGUCUGAACCAGCCAAGUCGCGUGAAGGAUGACUGCCCUAUGGGUUGUAAACUUCUUUUAUAUGGGAAUAAAACGUUCCACGUGUGGGAUUUUGUAUGUACCAUAUGAAUAAGGAUCGGCUAACUCCGUGCCAGCAGCCGCGGUAAUACGGAGGAUCCGAGCGUUAUCCGGAUUUAUUGGGUUUAAAGGGAGCGUAGGUGGAUUGUUAAGUCAGUUGUGAAAGUUUGCGGCUCAACCGUAAAAUUGCAGUUGAAACUGGCAGUCUUGAGUACAGUAGAGGUGGGCGGAAUGCGUGGUGUAGCGGUGAAAUGCUUAGAUAUCACGAAGAACUCCGAUUGCGAAGGCAGUUCACUGGACUGCAACUGACACUGAGGCUCGAAAGUGUGGGUAUCAAACAGGAUUAGAUACCCUUGUAGUC
rnacentral:rRNA from 1 species